rnacentral:rRNA from 1 species
AUGUCGCUCGCCAUGGCCACUCCCACCGCCACCGCCGCCGCCCAUCUCGCCUCGCCCCUCCUCUUCUCCUCAUCCCCGGACCCCCGCAGCCGCCGAACCCUGAGGGCCCCGUUCCGACGCGCCCGCCUUGCCGUCGUCGCCUCCGUCCCCGACCCCGCCGACAAGCCGGUGGAGUACACGCCCUGGCUCAUCGCCGGCCUCGGCAACCCCGGCAGCAAGUACCACGGCACUCGCCACAACGUGGGGUUCGAGAUGGUGGAUCGCAUCGCGCGGGACGAAGGGAUCACGAUGAACACCAUCCAGUCCAAGUCUCUGCUCGGAGUAGGUUUAAUUGGGGAGGUACCAGUGCUGCUGAUAAAGCCACAAUCAUACAUGAAUUACUGUGGUGAAGCAAUUGGACCGCUUGCUGCCUAUUACCAAGUACCUCUGCGGCACAUUCUUGUGAUUUAUGAUGACAUGAGUCUGCCCAAUGGUGUAUUGCGACUUCAACGGAAAGGUGGCCAUGGCCGCCAUAAUGGCCUACAGAAUGUAAUUGAGCAUUUGGAUGGCUGUCGGGAGUUUCCUCGUUUAUCUAUAGGCAUUGGUAGCCCACCUGGCAAAAUGGAUACACGAGCUUUUCUUCUGCAGAAGUUUAGUUCAGAGGAACGAAUUCAGAUUGACACCGCAUUGGAGCAAGGGGUGGAUGCUGUGAGGACCCUUGUGCUCAAGGGUUCUAGUGGAAGUAUUGAGAGAUUUAAUCUGGUGCAGAAGUACAAGUUCAACAGGGCUUGA